UACGUAGGGCGCAAGCGUUGUCCGGAAUUAUUGGGCGUAAAGAGCUCGUAGGCGGCCUGUUACGUCUGCUGUGAAAUCCCGGGGCUUAACCCCGGGUCGGCAGUGGAUACGGGCAGGCUAGAGGUAGGUAGGGGAGAAUGGAAUUCCCGGUGUAGCGGUGAAAUGCGCAGAUAUCGGGAGGAACACCGGUGGCGAAGGCGGUUCUCUGGGCCUUACCUGACGCUGAGGAGCGAAAGCGUGGGGAGCGAACAGG
rnacentral:rRNA from 1 species